CCUUAAAGUCACAAAUAUCACCGAAAAAGGGCCCUGAGCUCCAGGGUGAUUCUGUACUGGCGACCAAAUCCUAGCACAACCUAUUCCCCAGCUCACUAACAAAAGAGAAAAUCUCCUUCAUCAAACUGGCUCCCUUAGUAUCCUCCCCAUACAUCAGCCAACUAGAAAUGUCCAUGCUUUUCAGCAGCAACCCAAGAGUAC
rnacentral:misc_RNA from 1 species